GUUUUUUUUUCCCGAAAAGCCCCCUCUGGUCGAAUCCCCACCGCGCCCACGCGACCAGACCACGCCGCCGCGCCGCCCACGCAAACCCUAAGCCAGCCAGCCAGCCAGCUCUCGCCAGCCACCCACGUGGCGCGGGGUCCAAUGGAGGAGGACACUGGCGACAGGGAGGAGCAGCAGCCUGUCGCGGCCGCGGGAGGUGGCGCUGCCCCCGGCGAAGACGGGGCGGCAUGGAGGAGAGCGCCAUCAAGCUCUUCGUCGGCCAGGUGCCCAAACUCAUGACCGAGGUCGAGCAGGCCGCCAUGUUCUGUGACGUCGCCAUCGUCAACGAGGUCACCGUCAUCCGCGACACGGCCACCAAGAUCUUGCGAGGUUCGUCCGGAUCCGUAUGCCCCAACCCGCAACGCUGGGUUAUCCUUCCCUCCGGAGAGAGGACAUGUACAGGGAUAUCAGAUCUUAUGCGUCCAUCUCUCACAACCACAUCCCCGGCGUAUAGCAGCGCCGUCAGAUCAAGAGAAACAAUGCAAACCCUGGAUACUUCGGGGAGGGGAAGAAGAGAGGGUGGAGGAGCACAUCCCCGUGAAGAAGAUGAGAUCCUACCUCCUCGGUCUCAACAUCGUCAAGAAAUCAUAGAGCAGUAACAACGCUAGAGCAGCAGCAAAGCGAAGUCUCUAAUCGAUCUAGCAGCAUGAUCAAAGAGGCUGGGUACAAAUACGCGAGGAGGUCAAGGUCAUUCUUCCUGAUGACCAAAGGUAGACAGCAGGAUCUUUCCCUGUGUCCUAUGGCGUGCCCUUGACCUACUGGGGGAAAUUCGAGCGGAUCUACCUAUACCUCGACCGAGAGGCCACCGGCGCCGCAUCUUCUGAGUUUGACCUGUGUCUUGGGUGACUCGGAAAAGCGGCGACUUGAGAGAUGGUCCGGCCUCAGGAGACUUGGCACAGUGUCUUGGGUGACUCGGAAAAGAUGCGACAUGAGAGAUGGUCCGGCCUCAGGAGACUUGGUACAGCACACUAUUGAAGGUUUGGUCCAGAUAAUGAGAGCUCAGAGAUGUUUCCGAUUGUUAGUGCACUCUUGAAUAUGGUAUAUCUUGCAUAUCAAGUUCUUAGACACAUGCGUACCCUCACUCAAGGGAUGCAGGCUGCAGAGAGUAUAUCUGGAUGACAUUCUUGCCCAGGUGGUCUGUUCAUCUGUAGUUUAACAUGCACAAUAAUGAAAUUUAAAUAACACGUAAGGACAUAUCAGUUACUUCAACACAUAAACACAUAUCAGUUGUUUACUUAAUAAAAUAGCUCUUUCUA